CAAAAAGUAGUUUAGAUAAGAAUCUUAGCUUUGGGAGCUAGUGGUGAGGGUUAAACUCCCUUCUUUUUGA
rnacentral:tRNA from 1 species